rnacentral:rRNA from 1 species
GACGAACGCUGGCGGCGUGCUUAACACAUGCAAGUCGAACGGAAAGGCCCCCUUGUGGGGUACUCGAGUGGCGAACGGGUGAGUAACACGUGAGUAACCUACCCUUGACUUUGGGAUAACUUCAGGAAACUGGGGCUAAUACCGGAUAGGAGCUCCUGCUGCAUGGUGGGGGUUGGAAAGUUUCGGCGGUUGGGGAUGGACUCGCGGCUUAUCAGCUUGUUGGUGGGGUAGUGGCUCACCAAGGCUUUGACGGGUAGCCGGCCUGAGAGGGUGACCGGCCACAUUGGGACUGAGAUACGGCCCAGACUCCUACGGGAGGCAGCAGUGGGGAAUAUUGCACAAUGGGCGGAAGCCUGAUGCAGCAACGCCGCGUGCGGGAUGACAGCCUUCGGGUUGUAAACCGCUUUCGCCUGUGACGAAGCGUGAGUGACGGUAAUGGGUAAAGAAGCACCGGCUAACUACGUG